UACGUAGGGUGCAAGCGUUAAUCGGAAUUACUGGGCGUAAAGCGUGCGCAGGCGGUUUUGUAAGUCUGUCGUGAAAUCCCCGGGCUCAACCUGGGAAUUGCGAUGGAGACUGCAAGGCUAGAAUCUGGCAGAGGGGGGUAGAAUUCCACGUGUAGCAGUGAAAUGCGUAGAGAUGUGGAGGAACACCGAUGGCGAAGGCAGCCCCCUGGGUCAAGAUUGACGCUCAUGCACGAAAGCGUGGGAGCAAC
rnacentral:rRNA from 1 species